CUCUUUAACUCAUUAUUUGAUCAGGCAUUAACUUCGACUGUCAGUGCCAAAAAGAUGACAAAAUUCUUGGUCGGUGUUAGUGUCCAUACCAUCCAACUAGUUUGAUCCAUUUGCCUGGAAGAGAGGGGCACGUAUGAUAUCUGACAUGACAACUCAAGACAGACAGUGGCUUUGGGCACAAUCAUACAUUAAUUAAUGGUUUUAUUAUAGAUUUGAUAGUUGGAUGAUAAGAUGUUUUUUGUACAUGGUUUCCCAAGUUGACUUCCACAAGUUAUUGUUACAUAUUUUUUCCAUAUCGCCCACCAAUGUCUACUAAACUGCCUAUUACUGGUGAUGAAAUAGUAUCUGUGGUUGCCAUGUGCUGAGAAAUAAAAACAAGAAACAAUUAGAAUUGCUGUUGUUAAAGAGAGAACUUUGGAUUGGUGGGUCAAGAGCUCCAGAGAUGCAACAGAGAUCAUAACAUCCUAAAAAUUUCAAAGACCCACCACCAAGAACACAGGGGUCUUUUCUUUCAAUUUCCUUCCUGUUAGGUGAGGUUUACGUUCUACUUGUGUUUAUCUUUUCAUUACGUUCAAGGCUUGCUGAGCAACUUUCCAAAUCCAGGCCUUGCUUUACAUUCUUUGAUGGAUGGUGUGGUCACCAUCUUUGAACCUCAUGACCCACCAGUACACAAUUCUCUCUCAAACUUCAGCAAUCUUAAUUGUUUCUUGGAUAUUUUUUUCCUCAAAACACAGCAACCACAGACUAUUUUGUCACCAGUAAUAGGUGUUUUAGUAGCUGCUGGUGGGAGAUAUGGAAAGAUAUCUAACAGUAACUUGCAGAAGUCAACUCUGGAAAGCACACAUGAAAAACAUCUAAUCAUCCAACUACUAAAUCUAUACUAAAACCAUUUUAAAUGUUUCAGUCUGCCCAAGGCCACCAUCUGUCUUGAGUUGCCACAUCAGAUAUUAUCAGUGCUCUGCCCUCCCAUGCAACUGGAUCAAACUAGUUGGAUGGUGCAGACACUGACACCAACUGAAAAUUUUGUCAUCUUUUUUGGUGCAGACUGUAUAAGGGCUAGAAGGUCACAGAAUAUUGGUUAAGUCAGAAAAGACAGGAAAUAUUCUAAUUAAAGUUUUUGACACAACAACUUGGCUCCCAAGUUAAGGCAAGCAAUAUUUUGAUUCAAGUAUAAUUCCAACUCUACUACUCAGCACACCACAUGCCCCACAUACCACAAAGGUAAGUAAAAAAAAUGCUGUUUAAAUCACGAAUCAUACUCAACCACUCAGCCCAUAAUGCGCUUCUGCUGUCUACCACCACUAUCAAACAGCACCACUUUCAUUCUCAGUGACUCACAAUGACAACAACAAUGACAACUGAACCCCAAAAAUUAAGCCAUGCAAGUUUCAUUUCUUUUUGGAUAUGAUAAUGCAAGGCCUGAUGGACUAUGAUGACUUGGACCAGUCCUACCCUGCUGUAUGCAAUCUUUGGUCUGUUAACAUAAGAACAUAAGAAAUAAGGGAAGCUGCAAGAAGCGACCAGGCUUACACGUGGCAGUCCCUGUAUGAAAUAUACCUAACUAUUUCCACCUAUCAUCCCCAUCCAUAAACUCAUCUAAUCUUCUCUUAGAGCUACCUAAUGUCCUAGCACUAACAACAUGAUUACUGAGUCUAUUCCACUCAUCUACCACUCUAUUUGAGAACCAAUUUCUUCCUAUCUCUUUCUUAAACCUAAAUUUUUCAAGGUUGAACCCAUUAUUUCUUGUUCUAUCCUGGUUGCUGAUCCUAAGAAUUUUGCUUACAUCCCCCUUGUUAUAACCCUUAUACCACUUAAAGACUUUUAUCAGGUCCCCUCUUAACCUGUUAUCAUCAAGCAACAACAUGACACCCUGAAGCAGAGAAAAAUCUCAUCAUUCUUCAAGCCCAGCCUUCAACAAGUGAGUCUGAGUGCAGCAGCAGUACAGGAAUCUUCAGCAGUUCAUCUGAUGUAUCCUACCAUGUUGUGGUUAGCAAACCAGUGAUUCAGAGUGGGUGACUCUGACAGAGAGGAAAGUAACCCAGUGUUGUUACUGACCCUGUGGAUCCAGUCUCCCUCACCUCCUGGUUGAACAUUUUAAGACCUAUGAUGAUUGGAUGCGACCAAUCUAUGGUUGAGCCAAUCCCUGUAAAGUGGCAUCCCUGGACCUUUGCCUGCAUAUAGACACCUCUUCUGACAACUGGGGAACACCAGUCCUACACAAGUCUACAAAUGGCAUGUGGUCACCAUCAGAGGAUGUUUCACAUUAACCUCCAGGAGCUCCAAGUGAUAAAACUGAACCUCCAGUAUUUCACAAUACCUUCUUCAGGGCAAGACAGUGGUUGAUCUCAAAAUUGUGACCUUCUUCAGGGCAAGACAGUGGUUGAUCUCAAAAUUGUGAUCACACAGAA